UACGAAGGGGGCUAGCGUUGCUCGGAAUCACUGGGCGUAAAGCGCACGUAGGCGGGUCGCUAAGUCCGGGGUGAAAUCCUGGAGCUUAACUCCAGAACUGCCUUUGAUACUGGCGACCUUGAGUCCGGGAGAGGUGAGUGGAACUGCGAGUGUAGAGGUGAAAUUCGUAGAUAUUCGCAAGAACACCAGUGGCGAAGGCGGCUCACUGGCCCGGUACUGACGCUGAGGUGCGAAAGCGUGGGGAGCAAACAGG
rnacentral:rRNA from 1 species